rnacentral:rRNA from 1 species
AUACGGAAGGUCCGGGCGUUAUCCGGAUUUAUUGGGUUUAAAGGGAGCGCAGGCGGAGAUGCAAGCGUGACGUCAAAUUUCGGGGCUCAACCCCGUCUCGCGUCGCGAACUGCGUCCCUUGGUUGCGGGAAGGGGAGGCGGAACUCGUGGUGUAGCGGUGAAAUGCAUAGAUAUCACGAAGAACUCCGAUCGCGAAGGCAGCCUUCCGGCCCGUCAACGACGCUCAUGCUCGAAGGUGCGGGUAUCAAACAGGAUUAGAUACCCUGGUAGUCCGCACAGUAAACGAUGGAUACUCGCUGUCGGCGAUAUACGGUCGGUGGCCAAGCGAAAGCGUUAAGUAUCCCACCUGGGGAGUACGCCGGCAACGGUGAAACUCAAAGGAAUUGACGGGG